CCUAGACAGAAUAACCUUUGGGUAGAAGAGGUGAUAUUUCUCUACUGCUUUCAGAAGGUAUUAAUUGCAAGACGUGUAAGCUGAGCUCAGUAGACACAGCCAGACAUACAGGAGGGAUACAAUAGCCCACCUGAGAAGUGAGGCAUGAACUUCUCCAGGGCCUGCCAACUUCCUGACUCCUGUUCUUGAGAGAUGCAAGACUGUUCUGUUGGAUCUUCAGAGCUGCUGUCAUCUGUGCCAGGUAGGGUGCUGCGAGAUUCUCACUGCACAUACACACAGUCAGCUGAAGAAAUAACUGUGUCUGAGAAAGAGUGGAGGGAUUUCAUGGCUCUCCUGUGACAGGCUUUGUUUAUAGUUCUUAAUUCUUAGCACUUUAGGCAAAUGAUGACUGCCAUCACACACUGCAAGAGGUAAAAUCAGGUGACUUUGGAGCAUUCCCAACCUUGACAUUAAAACUGAAAAGAUCUGAAAAUUGUCUUCAAAUCCAUGGGGCAAUGACAAUAGCAAUGUGCUGCAAUACAUUACUGACCCUAUGCCUUUUUUUUUUUUUUUUCUUUUCAGUUCUGGCAUAUCCUGGCCAUGUUUCAAAGACCAAUAGUGAUGAAAGGAAAAAUAUGGGUUUGCCAUUUUAAAAAUAUCCUCUGAUAUAUUCAGGCAUUUCUUCCAUCUAACUGGACUUUACGAAAUCACAAAAGUUUCUGUUAAUUUCAAGGAACUUUUGCAGAGAAAGAGCUGAAGGGAGAGAUGUAAUUUAAAUCAUGUUUUUGUUGUGGAGAUUCCCGUGCAUCAAAUUACUGUUUUUCUUAAGAAAAAUUUAUUCAGCUACUGUAGUACCCCAGUCUGAGAAGGCCUGUCCUGUGAAAGCAGUAUAAUCUGUAUUUCCAUCAGUUAAUAUGAUGGACAGAGAGCUGUGAUGGACAGAGAAUAGAGGCUUCUCUGCCACAAGCACUGACUUUACAAGCAGUGUGAGAAGCACAGACCUCUGCAGAUUUGUAGAGGAAUUGAGGUGUAAUUUUAGUGUGCUUGUGUUUAAAUAAAGGAGUCAUGCAUCUGCUGUUGGGUUUUAGCCCCACCUGACCUUAGUGUUGGCACAGAGUCAGAAAAAAUCCUCCCAGCUGGUGCUGUGUUGUUUCUGUGUAGUCAGAAGGGAUUGCCUUCCAGACUAGGCAAGGUAUUAACACAAAAAUUCUCUUCCUAUAGAGUUUGGAUCUGAAAUAUAUUUGAAUUAAUGGUGUAGGACAGAAAAAGAGCUGAAAUUAAUAGAAGACCCCUCAAUGAAUUUUCUGUGGCACAUGUAAAAGAACAAGACCCACAUUCAGAAAAAACUGAGUGUUUGGAAAGGUGAUGGAGUGAAGUGAAGUUCCACUGAUGCUUUGCAGUGUGAAGGAAUUGCACAACAGAAAGGUAGAGUUUUAAAAGUGGCAGUGCUGUGAAGAAAAACUUAAAGAGAAUGUGAUUUGCAUUGAGAAAAUAGAUUAUUGUACAGAUAUUGGUUCCAUUGGAUAGUGAUUCCCUGAAUAACAUCUGCUGCAUUAUCUCAAUAAAUCUGGUUAUCUCCCACAGAAACGAGCUGAGCAAAAGGUCUGUAGUAAGUUUUGAAAAGAAUAUUUGUUAUUAUGUGUCAUUUACACAUAAGAAUCAAGCUACAUGGUCUCUAAUGACAGUGAACAAGAACAACAAGUUUCUUGUACAUUCUGUUACACGCAUUUCCAGUCUCUAGCCUGCACUGAAAAUGCAGCAAUUUUACAAGCAUUUCUCAUUUGCCCAGGCUAUGGAGUUAAUGAGAUAGAAAAAGCAUGAAGAAUUUGUAUGGAAUUUGUGUAUUUUACUUAAUUUCCAACUCAAACAUAAUAACAUGAAAGACAAGUGAUAUAUGAAUAAAGUUGUGUGUCCUUUCUUUGCUUUUCACAGCUCUUGCCUUGCAGCAGUCCGGGUUGAGUCGCUCUGGCACACAACAGGGCUGUAAAGCUGGCAAAGAACACUUCUGCAUCACAGCCUGCCAGUGAGUCUGCUGUUUGUAAUAGUACUGGGAGUAUUUUCCAUUUGCAAAUCAGCAAUUGGGAGAAUGAAGUCAUUUAAAGUUAUGUUGUUUCUGGGUGUGCUUAUUGCACAGUGAUUAUUGCAUCAUCACCUGCAACAUGUUGCAGUGAUGGAAAAUGAAAAUCGUUAUCCUAACAAGUUUUCUACUGGAUUUUUCAUUCAAGCUAGCUAAAGGACAUGUGGAUUGAUUCUGCUAGCUUCUCCAUGAAAAUCUAUUUCUACAUCCAAAAUUCUUCUCAUCCCACUCAAACAUGGUCCACUUGAAAGAUUCCUCUCCUGAAACACUUCACUAUAAUGUCUCUGGCCAGCAUUAAACACAGCCUUAUUUGGUCACAGAAAACAUGGAGACAAGCUCUCCCUCUUCUCAACAAAUAUUAAACUUAAGUAAUAUUUCUCAAGCUCUGUAAGAAGCUUGAGAAAAUUUUCACUAAAA